UACGAGGGGGGCGAGCGUUGUUCGGAAUUAUUGGGCGUAAAGGGUGCGUAGGCGGUUUGGUAAGUCUUAUGUGAAAUCUACAGGCUCAACUUGUAGUCUGCAUGAGGAAACUGCCGGGCUUGAGUGUGGGAGAGGUGAGUGGAAAUUCCUGGUGUAGCGGUGAAAUGCGCAGAUAUCAGGAGGAACACCGGUGGCGAAGGCGGGUCUCUGGACAGUAACUGACGCUGAGGAGCGAAAGCGUGGGGAGCAAACAGG
rnacentral:rRNA from 1 species